rnacentral:rRNA from 1 species
AACGAACGCUGGCGGCAGGCCUAACACAUGCAAGUCGAACGCCCUAGCAAUAGGGAGUGGCAGACGGGUGAGUAACACGUGGGAACCUUCCCUGUAGUACGGAAUAGCCCAGGGAAACUUGGAGUAAUACCGUAUACGCCCGAAAGGGAAGAUUAUCGCUAUAGGAUGGCCCGCGUAGGAUUAGCUAGUUGGUGAGGUAAUGGCUCACCAAGGCGACGAUCCUUAGCUGGUUUGAGAGAACGACCAGCCACACUGGGACUGAGACACGGCCCAGACUCCUACGGGAGGCAGCAGUGGGGAAGUAUUGGACAAUGGGCGCAAGCCUGAUCCAGCCAUGCCGCGUGAGUGAUGAAGGCC